rnacentral:rRNA from 1 species
AUGAGGUCGAGCAUGCAAGAAGGGAUGACAAGCAGUUUAGCUCUUGGAUCCUCUCGAGCCGAGGCGUCCUUCAGGGUGUACUACAGCCUCGGCGCCGGCGCCGUGCCGUUCGUCUGGGAGACCAAGCCCGGCACGCCCAGGCGCACCAUCGACCCCGUCAUCGCCGCCAGCGACGCGCUGCCGCCAAUCACGCCGCCGCCACUGUACCAGUCCAAGACCAUGAAGAAAUGCGCAAGGAAGUCAUCUUCUUGCUGGCCUCCUCCGCUGAUGAUGAGCUGGCUAAACAUCAGGAGGCGCCACCGUCGUCGUGCAGUCGCGACAACAAGCCUGCACCAGACCGCGGCGUCGAAGAUCAACGGCUACGGCGGCGGCGUGCCAUCCUUGGGUGCUUCUGAGCCUAGCAUGGACCGUUGGAACUAG